UCUCGGCCAGCGGUUGGUAUGGGGUAA
rnacentral:sRNA from 1 species